UGGGGACCCUGGAGAGGUGGCGGUCCGGAGUCUAGGCGACGGGGCGUGACGGGGCCGGAAGGUGGCGGGAGGGGGCCGGGCCGGAGCCGGCGGGAGGGCCAGGUCCCGAGGCCCCGACCCUGGCGUGCCCGCCCCCUCCGCGGCAGAGGAGGAAGAGGAGGAUGAUCUCCAGAUACACCCGGAAGGCGGUGCCACAGAGCUUGGAGUUGAAAGGAAUAACAAAACAUGCUAUUAAUCAUCAUCCCCUUCCAGAGCAGCUGGAUGAAAUUUCUUCUACCAAUGACAGCCAUGAAAAAGAUACGAGUUCCCAAAGUGAGUCUGACAUCACACAAGAAUCACCUUUUACAUCAGCUGACACUGGGAAUUCAAGAUCUGCUUUUCCAAGUUAUACAGGCACAGGGAUCUCCACUGAAGGCAGCUCGGACUUCUCCUGGGGAUAUGGUGAGCUUGAUCAAAAUGCCACUGAAAAGGUCCAGGCAAUGUUCACAGCCAUUGACGAGCUCUUGUAUGAGCAGAAGUUGAGUGUGCAUACUAAGAGUCUACAGGAAGAGUGCCAACAAUGGACAUGCAGCUUUCCUCACCUCAGGAUCCUGGGUAGGCAGAUAAUCACUCCAAGCGAAGGAUAUGGACUGUAUCCUAGAUCCCCUUCUGUUGUUUCAGUUUCACAUGAGACAACACUUUCUCAAGAAAGAGAUUCUACUAUAUUUGGUAUUAGGGGAAAGAAGUUACAUUUUUCAUCUUCUUAUGCUCACAAAGCAUCUCCCAUUGCCAAAUCCCCUAGUGUGUAUUCUAUGGAAAGAGAGGAGGAAGACUGUAUAAUCUUCUCUGAAGGAAUAAUAGAGGAAUACCUAGCAUUCGACCACACUGAUAUGGAAGAGGGGUUUCAAGGAAAGAAAUUACACGCAUCUCCAGAGAAACAGAAAUUAGGGUACCCUCCCAUUGCUCCAUUUUACUGCAUGAAAGAGGACGUCCUUGCUUAUGUGUUUGACGACGUGUGGAGCAAAGUUCUGAGCUGUAUGGAGCAGCUGACACGUAGUCAUUGGGAGGGAUUUGCUUCUGAUGAUGAGAGUAAUGUUGCAAACACCAGACCAGUUUCAGAAAGCCCCUGUGUGCUGAGUGAACCACAACCCUUGGUUUUACCUCGAGUGCCACAGUCGAAGGUGCUGUCCAUCACCUCAAAUACAAUGAAUCUCUAUCAAGCAGCAAGUGGUCAUCAGCCAAAUGUGAAUGGUCUCUUGGUCCAUGGGAUGCCUCUACAACCAAGAAAUCUCUCCCUAAUGGACAAGCUACUAGAUCUUGAUGACAAGCUACUUAUGAGACCUGGAUCCAGUACCAUCCUUUCAACCCGAAAUUGGCCAAAUCGAGCCCUGGAGCUUAGUACAUCAGCUCUGUCAUACACAGUGCAGUCCGCCAGGAGACGCAAUCCCCCACCACGUACGCUUCAUCCCAUCAGCACAAGCCAUUCAUGCGCUGGAACGCCAAGGCCUGUGGAAGAAAUCCUCAGAGGAUCCCGAGUAUUCAGUAAGAGAUGUCUAUACCGACCACAAAUCUUUCAUGACACCAGGGUUCUUCUCACCUGUCCAGGAGCGGCGGACUCACUCUCCUCUCCCUCACCAAUGCCCCUGAGUCGAAACAAUCUCCUGCCACCUAUUGGCACAGCUGAAGUGGAACACUUAAGCACUGUGGGGUCACAAAGGCAAACGAAAACCCAUGGUGACUCCAAUCGAGCUCGAAGUGCAGUGGUGGAUGAGCCUAACCAUCAGCAGCCCCAGGAGAGGCUCCUUUUACCUGACUUUUUCUCCAGGCCCAACACUACUCAGUCAUUUUUGUUCCAGAGCCUAGAAGUCCAAAAUCAAGGUGUCAGCAGAACAAUGCUCCCACUACAGGAUCUAUGGAUGAGGAUCUUCUCACCUCUUCUUGGCUUCUGGUGGACUGCAGCAGUCCCUGGCCGUCCUUGCCUUGCAGCUGCAUCACUCCAGUUUCUGCCUAUGCCUUCACACAGCCUUCCUCCCUGUGUCUGUGUCCAGAUUUCCGUCUUAUGAAGAUACCAAUCAUUGAAUCUAUGGCUGACCCUAGUCCAAUAUGACCUCACCUUAUCUUGAUGACAUCUGCAGAAAUUCUAUCUCCAAAUAGUCAUAUCCACAGGUUCCAGGUGGACAUAAAUUUUGGCAGCAGCUGCAGGAGGGGACACUUCAACUCAACAGACCUUAGGAGACUUUAUUUAGGGGGAGAUUCACCAAAACAUGACCUAAAGGGAAAUGUGAGCAUUUCUGAUUCUUACUCAAUGUGAACUCUAGAAAAGUUUGAGAACCUCUAUUAAAUCUGUCCUCUCAUAAUUUGAUUCAGGGCACUUGUUAAAGCAGUGUUCCAUGAUUAUAUUCUACAGCUAGAUUCUCUAUAAAACAUUUAUAUAUAAUUUUCAGUUUCUUCUUUUUCUGAUGUUUAAAACAAUAAAAGUAAGAAUUUCUUACCUUAGCUGUGUCUUUCCCAGUUUGCUGUCAUGCAAAGGGAGAUCAGCUAGUUGCUCGAUGUAACUGAGAGCAUUAUAACUGAGUCCCUGGCUUGGCACUUCCAGACUAGCACUCUGCUCCUACAGGUGAACAAACUAUUUUUAUGGACCAUUUAGCUCACCACAAAAGUUAGUCUGCUUUUGUAAAUACAGUUAUUACAGGAGAGCUACCGUACUCAUUCACUUAUGUGCUGUCUAUGACUGCUUUCCCACUCUAACAGCAGAGUUGAGCAGUUUCUAGCAGUACGUACCACAAAGCAUAAAAUAUCUACUUUCUGGCCCGCCAGAAAGGAAGUUUGGUGACCCCAAUAAAAAAACAAAACAAAACAAAAAAAAAAACAAAAACAAAAAAAAAAACGGGGCUUCACCAAAAAAAGGUUCCUGAAAUGUCUUAAUUCCAGUGCUCUGACAGGGAACUGAGAGGGAUGUUUUUUAUUCCAGAAGCACCAGCAGGAUGGCAUUGAUAGGUGUUUUUUUUUUUUUUUUGAUAUUUACAUUUCAGUGUUUUAAUCAUAUCUUAAAAUUUUUAAAUUAUCAGAGGUGAUUUUGAAAUGUAUGAACUUCAUACUGAGAGUCACAUUUCAAGUAUGGAGGUAAAGUCAUGGGUGUUUUAAUGUUGCUGAAAAGGCUCUGUUGUUUUAAACUUUAGUCAGCAGGCAGUCUAAAUUAGAUAAAAUUCCCUUAACAGCCAUUAUAAAUACUGAGAAAUAUUAAACCAUAUGGAUUACUUAUAAGUGCUAAAAUUAUCUUAAAGGCAUAUUAAUAAAAUUUUAGAACUUAAGAAAUUUUUAAAAAAAGAACUUAACAUUUCUUACAAGUUAACAAAUGGCUUUGUAGGUCCCCGGCUUGGGAUUCUUUACUUGAAAUACAAGAGUGCACUCAACCAACUUGUCCCUCAGCUGGCAGACAAUGCCAUUUACAUUGCUGUCUGAUUUCAAGGUAUUCCUUUGUAAACCUACUAACAUACAUCCUUUGGGGGAAGUCCCAUUGUAAGAAGUGUCUCAUCUUUUCUGUUUUGCAGCCAGAUACACAAUAUCAUUCGUGUGUUGCUGAGUAUCCUCAUCAGGCCCGACCUGGUAGGGGAUCUGCAGUGACAGGUCCUCAGUUACACGGGUCUACAAAAUCUCAAAACAGAGGUGGACCAGUCUCUAGAACCAAGCAGGGACCAUAGGGCAAAUAGAAGAACCUGCUUCAGGCUGCAGGGAACACGUGAGAGAAUUUCAUGAAUCAGUGUCCAGUCAUCUUGUGAUGCGAAGCUUGUAUA